CGUACCCCGUUACUUGGAACUGUGGUAAUUCUAGAGCUAAUACAUGCCGACAGAGUUCCGACCAGCUGUUCGGAUGUGCGACGGCCUCGCGUCGUUCGUCGCCGUUCGGUUCGGAAGGAACGCUUUUAUUAGAUCAAAACCGGCUAAACGGCGGUUUCGCUCUUGCAGCGUUUACCGUCGUAAGCGGCCCGCGCAAAGAUUUGGUGACUCUGAAUAACUUCGAGCUGAUCGCACGGUCUUCGUACCGGCGACGUAUCUUUCAAAUGUCUGCCUUAUCAACUGUCGACGGUAGGUUCGACGCCUACCGUGGUGGUAACGGGUAACGGGGAAUCAGGGUUCGAUUCCGGAGAGGGAGCCUGAGAAACGGCUACCACAUCUAAGGAAGGCAGCAGGCGCGCAAAUUACCCACUCCCAGCUCGGGGAGGUAGUGACGAAAAAUAACGAUACGGGACUCAUUCGAGGCCCCGUAAUC
rnacentral:rRNA from 1 species